rnacentral:misc_RNA from 1 species
GCAGUCACACUAAUAAAGCUACAAAGAGGAAGAAGACGAUUAAGGAGAAAAUUAUAAGUUUCACCAGCUAUCUGCAAAGAAUUACCGCACAGCCUAAGAACGCACAUUGUGCGCGCACCCGCAGUUAACAGUGUUAAACACUUUCAAUAAUGGCCGACGAUAAAAGCUACGACUCCAGCAACAACAGCGAGACCGAGGAGCGUCGGGCCAAGCACAAGAAGGCUAAAAAGCACAAGAAACACAAAAAAUCUUCGACUGGCAAGUCCGAGAAGGACAGGCAUAUCCACAAAAAGCAGAAGAAGGCAAAAAAGCGCCCCCACCGCACAAGCGAGUCCUCAAACGACUCGGACGCCCCGGAAAACGCAAAGCCAAAGCUAUCGCAAAAUUGCGGUCUGAGUAGCAAGUUCACAGAAAUCAUGCAGAAGGCGAGCCGCAACGGAGCCGACUUCCGUGUCGGCAAACCCCUGCUGCCGACGGAUCCGAGCAGUCUUGUUGAAGAAAUCACCAAAACUAUUCAGAAUAAGAUGCUGCCCGUCCUGGAGGUGGCCAGUUCUGGCAGCGAAAGCGAUGUCCCCGCCGAUGCGGCGACUCCUAUCAUUACUUCUAUUAUUGAAGACGAGCUUAACUUGGAGGACUUGAUGCGACAGAAAGCCCUGCUGCAGGCUCGCCUGGGCGCUUACAUGUCGGACCCCGAGGCCGAGGAUAAGGGCGAUCUCCCAUACACACAGUCGCAGCAGCUUGUUGCUCACACCAAAUCAGUGCUCAAAGCUGACACAUCCGCAUCGCAGCCCCAACCCAGCAAGUCUGCAGCGCCGUUGGCUACUGCAACCAGUAAACAUGCUAAUAUUAAAAAGUCUACCACGCAUAACUCAAAUGAAUCCGAUGUUAUAUUGUUGGAUGAUUCUAGCGGAGGCCAGCGAACCCCCUCGCCCACGCCCGAGAAGCGAAGGCGCCACGCAUCCCCGCUCCCAGCAGCUCCGAGAAGUCGUGGCCGUAGGGAUCGUCGUUCGAGGGAUCGCGACCGUUCACCCCCACGUCGCCGAGCAUCAGAUCAGCAGGCGCAGGUUCGACCGCGAAGCCGCAACCGCAACAUGGAGGACCUACGACAGGAAAUAAACCGAGACAAGCAAAGGGAAAGACGGGACCAUAGCCGGGACCGGGAUCGGCGAGGAUUGGAUAGGCCGCCGCCACCCACUGAUCUGAGACCAGGUCGUGCACGGGAGCGAGACGUUCGGCCGGGUCGCAAUCAGCGGUCGCACAGCCGCAGUAAGUUUGAGUCAGACAGGCGACGAGAGCGGGAGCGGCAAAAGGACCGGGAUCGUGGUGGCUUUGAUCGUGGUAGCGGACGCGGAGGAGCCCGCAGUGGGACUGACAACGGGGACAGAGAUCGGUACAAGGGUUCGCUGAGCGAGGGGCAAAAUAAGCUCGAGAAGGAGAGCAGUGACGAGGAGGUGAAUGUGGACAUUGCCAUUUUCGAUGAAGAUGAUGACGAAGAACGUAUCAUUGAGUUACGUAGAAAGAAGCGCGAGGAGCUACUCAAGAAACUGGGCACUGGACAGGAAUCUCCAGCUCCUCAUAACUCAGUCUCGUACGAGUCCCGGAGUACUUCACAAGAGUCAUCCCAACGCGAGAGGCCUUUAAGAACGCCGACGCCAACCCUGCCUUGCUCGAAUUCACUUAGCUCAGAAAUGCAAAAAGAAGAUAUGGAUAACUCGAAUAGCCAAAAAAAUUGCUCCGUCAAGGAAAAACGAAACGAGUGGGAUAUGUUUGCCGACCAAGAUGUGGAUUCCAAUUUCGAUUCACCCAACACAAUCGUCCAAAAUAAGCACCAACACGAAAAUCCCGCCCUCACAGACAACUGGGACGAUGCAGAGGGUUAUUACCGAGUUCGUAUCGGGGAAGUUUUGGACAAUCGCUACCUAGUGAAUGGAUACACAGGCCAGGGUGUCUUCAGCAACGUAGUGCGUGGCAGAGACCAAGCUCGGGGACAAGCUAAUGUUGCCAUUAAGAUCAUACGGAACAACGAAAUAAUGCACAAAACUGGCUUGCGGGAACUAGAAAUAUUGAAAAAGCUGAACGACGCCGAUCCAGAGGAUCGUUUCCACUGCCUGCGAUUGUAUCGUCACUUCUUUCACAAGCAGCAUCUUUGUAUGGUGUUUGAGCCAUUAGCAAUGAAUCUGCGGGAAGUACUUAAAAAGUAUGGCAAGAAUGUGGGACUCCACAUCAAAGCAGUGCGUAGCUACACGCAGCAACUAUUCUUGGCUCUCAAAUUGUUAAAAAAGACGGGCAUCUUGCAUGCGGACAUUAAGCCGGACAACAUCUUGGUAAACGAAAAUAAUCUGAUACUUAAGUUGUGUGAUUUUGGUUCUGCAUCGGCAAUCAGCGACAACGAAAUAACACCGUAUCUGGUAUCGCGGUUCUACCGCUCACCAGAGAUCAUUUUGGGAAUUCCGUAUGACUACGGAAUCGACACUUGGUCUGCCGGCUGCACAAUUUAUGAGUUAUACACAGGAAAGAUUUUGUUCAGCGGGAAGAGUAAUAAUCAGAUGCUAAAGUUUUUCAUGGACGUUAAAGGCAAGAUACCAAACCGAAUUAUCAGAAAAGGUCAGUUUAGAGAGCAGCAUUUUGACCAGAGCUGCAACUUUCUGUAUCAUGAAAUAGAUAAGCUCACCGAGAGGGAAAAAAUUGUUGUAAUGCCAGUAGUCAAACCUUCGCGUAGCCUGCAGCAGGAACUAAUUGCUGACCAAAACUUGCCAGACGAUCAACACCGCAAGGUCACCCAGCUCAAAGACCUUCUGGAGAACAUGUUUGCCUUGGACCCGGCUAAACGGAUAUCUCUUAACCAGGCACUAGUUCAUCCAUUCAUACAGGAGAAGAUGUAAAUCGACCGGCGAAAACAAUGAAACUGUGCCGCUUGGACGAGCUUUCCUUGGCCUUGUGGCUGGCUGAACUGUUUGGGCUUUCAACAUUUUUUUAUCUACGCCUUCCAAUUUCAACUGCGUGCUGUAAUCCGUGAGUAUAUUACUUAUAACAUUCCUAUAGCUAAUUGAUCGACUACAAUUCUGUCCAAGUAAGUAAGGUACCUAACUUUUAAA